rnacentral:lncRNA from 1 species
UGUACAUACUUAUACUGGUACUCGCUGGAGUGAGUGAUGUCUGUAUCUUGGAGACUAUGUAUGUAUAGUGAAUCUGAUGUUUAUUUAUAUAUAUUUACAGUUUUGUUAGCAGCUCUAUAUUACUAGUUAUAGUUUUGUAUGAUUACAGGUAUAGGUACAGCUAUCGCUUCGUAUACAGAGAAAAUUUUUUUGUAUACGGCAGGUCUGUUGGUGUGCCCGGAGAAACGUGGUAAUUCGGGGCGUGACAGAUUAAGUUGGUAUCAGAGCUUAGUAUUAGAUUGUUGGGACCUAGAAAACUUUAAGCUUGGCAAAGCUUAGGAAGACAAGACGCGAGAGGCGUGAUUUAUCGCGAAAGUCAGCAUUUGAAUUGUUUUUAACUCAUCCUAGAGUAGAGUGAGUGACUGAAGGAGUGUCUGUUUCAGCCAAGAAAAUUAUGUCGGCUGCAGAUAGCAUAAUUUUGAGGAGAAACAAGGGUGGCUUUCUAG